rnacentral:rRNA from 1 species
AUUGAACGCUAGCGGGAUGCUUAACACAUGCAAGUCGAACGAGUGGCGGACGGGUGAGUAAUGUAUCGGAACGUGCCCAAUGGCGGGGGAUAACUACUCGAAAGGGUGGCUAAUACCGCAUACUAUUGGAGCGGCCGAUAUCGGAUUAGCUAGUGGGUGGGGUAAAGGCUCACCAAGGCAACGAUCCGUAGCUGGUUUGAGAGGACGACCAGCCACACUGGGACUGAGACACGGCCCAGACUCCUACGGGAGGCAGCAGUGGGGAAUUUUGGACAAUGGGGGAAAGCCUGAUCCAGCCAUCCCGCGUGUAUGAGAAGGCCUUAGGGUUGUAAAGUACUUUCAGUCGGGAGGCGUUACCCACAGAAGAAGCACCGGCUAACUCCGUGCCAGCAGCCGCGGUAAUUC